CUAUCCUUUCAAGAAUGAUAUACACCACUGAGACAGGUAAUUCCUCCAGUCCUUAAUUGAUGUAAAAUGAAAAUGUAAAUAUUUAGGGUAAGUUCAAUGAGCACACACUGAAGAAUCGAUCUAUAGCCAAAAUAUUUUGUUGGACCUUACAGUGCAGGAUUAUAUCAGCACUUGGGAUGAACAAGAAGAAGAAGAAAAAGAAGGAGGAGGAGGAGAAGGAGAAGAAGGAGGAGGAGAAGAAGAGACCAGACUUUUGAGAGCAGCCUGACUGGCAUAGUGAAACUGUAUCUUUAAAAACAAGACAGAGAAAUGUUUAUAUUUUUUUUAUUUUCUCCUUUUAUAGUUAUAUGUUAUUUAUUUAUUUUUUAGAAAAUAUUUUUACAUAUAUAUACACAUAUUUAUAUAUCUUACUCUCUUCUCUCUUUUGGCACCCUCAGGUUAGUAUCCUUUGUUCUUCUAGACAGUAUUACAUAUUUAUUGUAUGUACUUAUUGUAUUAUAUAUUUAAUGUGCAUAUAUAUGAUUUCAUGCAACUGUACAAAAUCUAGGAAUCACAAAUUAAAGAAAACUUAUGAUAGUUACACAUCAUUAUUCUUAGUAAUUCCUAAGUGUAUCAGAUACUCUAGUUUAGUAAACAUUUUGUAUGUAUAGACUCUAUUUUAUUGCUAUCAGUAAUAUAUGAAUAACAUUUUCUUGGGUUUCCUAUGAGGAGAUUUGGAGAAAAU
rnacentral:lncRNA from 1 species